rnacentral:misc_RNA from 1 species
UACGUAGGAGACGAGCGUUGUCCGGAGUUACUGGGCGUAAAGGGCGCGCAGGCGGCCUCCCGCGUGAGUGGUGAAAGCUCCUGGCUUAACUGGGAGAGGUCCAUUCAGACGGGGAGGCUUGAGCGUCGGAGAGGGGCAUGGAAUUCCGGGUGGAGCGGUGAAAUGCGUAGAGAUCCGGAGGAACACCAAUGGCGAAGGCAGUGCCCUGGCCGACGGCUGACGCUCAGGCGCGAAAGCGUGGGGAGCAAACAGG